GACACUUAUUAGAAUUGUUUUCUCAUAUAGGACAUAGAGGAGAACACUACUAUAAGAUGUUGAAUCGGUCCAUAUGAGGGGUAAGGCCUGAAUGAAAGUGGUGGCAGUGAGCUUGGAGCAAAAAGAAUGGUAAAAAAUAUGUCCAAUGACAUAUCAAUGAGAUGUAUGGGAUUGACCCGGUGCUGGAGGCAAAGGAGAGGACAGUUGCAAAGAAGCCAGUCCAUGAGAAACCAAUCACUACUGCUGAAAUAUUAAGAAUGGUCCUGGACUUUGAAGCUGAGGAAAAGCCUUGUCAUCCUAUGGGACUCUGCCCAGUGGCUACUCAGCCCCCUACGUGAUAUCGCUAUCAUCUUUGAUCUAAAACAACAUCUUCAUCAAUGCAGAUAUUCAUGAAAUUAUACAAAAGAGGAAUAGCAGUGAAUAAAAGAGUUUAUACAUUUUUUAAAAAAAAUCUC
rnacentral:lncRNA from 1 species